GGGGCUGUAGCUCAGUUGGGAGAGCGCAUCGUUCGCAAUGAUGAGGUCAGGGGUUCGAUUCCCCUCAGCUCCA
rfam:Devosia geojensis strain BD-c194 NODE_130, whole genome shotgun sequence.